ACCGGAGCGUAGGUUCCGGUUCCUGCGCACCGUCCGCGCCACCUGACGACUGCUCACGCGGUUUGUCGGUC
rnacentral:sRNA from 1 species